UACGGGGGGAGCAAGCGUUGUUCGGAUUUACUGGGCGUAAAGGGCGCGUAGGCGGCGCAACAAGUCACUUGUGAAAUCUCCGGGCUUAACUCGGAACGGUCAAGUGAUACUGUUGUGCUAGAGUGCGGAAGGGGCAACUGGAAUUCUCGGUGUAGCGGUGAAAUGCGUAGAUAUCGAGAGGAACACCGGUGGCGAAGGCGGCUAUCUGGACAGUGACUGACGCUGAGACGCGAAAGCGUGGGUAGCAAACAGG
rnacentral:rRNA from 1 species